CCAAGGCAGAUGCUGAUACAGCUUGAAAAACUUUCUAACAUAACCACAUGUUUUAUGCACAUACUAGCCUGUGAAAUAUUGCAGGUAGUUCAUUUUUGAAUUGGUCUCAGAACAAGUGACAAGCUGAGCCUGAAACACAUCGGACUGCUAUGUGCAACUCUUUCUGUUCAGGCUGUCAGAUAUGCCUGGAAAUACACUGGAUUUAACAGCAAGCUAAGGAUCAUGAUGUAAGGAUCAUGUCCCAGCAACUACAAAAGGAAAUCAAGAUAAAUAAUGUGGUAAGCAAGUAGCAAGACUGUGAGAUUGAGUAAUUUCUGUUAAUAAAGGAUCUAUAUUUAUUUACUCUGUGGAAUAAAAGAAGGAAGUUUUGACAUGUGACAUCAUUGGAUCUGGUUAUGAAUCUCAUCCACAUCCAGUUUUAUUUUGCACUACUCAUGCUAUGUAUUUUUUGACUGAAAAAAAAGAAUGAUAGCUAUGCAUUUAGGCCAUCAACACAGGAAAAAUGUCAUAAACACAGUCAUAGCAGUAAGGCUCAAAACAACAAGGUACAUUUAGUAGCAAAGCUUCAGUAAAACUGUUAUAACCAGAUGUUGUGUCAUCGCUCACAUAAGGUUUCAGGCUUUUGAGUGACAGGCACUCCACAGCAAACUGGCAGCAUUAAUCAAUAUGUACAGUAGGUAAGAUUGACCAAUCUGUUCCUACUGUGGAGUUAUUGCUAUGUUAUUUUAUUCAAAACCCAAACAAAUAUUUUAAUUUGAAGAGGAAUUUUAUGUCUCUUGUCCAAGGUAUUCUGGUCUCAGUGUUGAUACUUUAAACAAUAUUGGUCAGUUCUCAAUUAACAGGAAAUACUAGUAUUUUUAAAUCUUUCUUCAAUAACAGCAGUGGAAAUCUUGCUGAAACAAGGGAAUAAGGCUUCUAUUAGUAAUUUUCCAGGUGGUUCCAAAUCACUAAGUCCUUGUGUAUUUUCUGUCCUGUUUUUAAGCAUGUCAAAACAUGAUUGACAAUAAGUUGCAGUAAAUGGCACCAGACAAUGUUCUCUCUGUAAUUUUAUAAUUAAGUUUGUUAAAUGUAAGGUUCAGUGAUACCUGAAGCUAAAAGAAAAUGGAGUGGGAUUCAGCUCAAAAUUCAGACAAAGAAAAUUGGAUGUCUGAGAUCAAUGUAACCUGCAGUAGUAUUCAGCUGCUACGUACCGACUCGCAUUUUGGAGUGGUUGUACUCAUAGAUCUGUAUCAUUUGCUGUCUUCGGCGUUGCAUACGCAUAAAAUUUUGCACUUUUUUGAUUUUUAAAAUGAUUUCCUACAAUUUCUGAGAUAACUCAGCUUCAGUUUGUACCGGUGUGUUUUUAUUUAGGGGUUUAAAUGUUAUUUUUAAUCAAGCCUGUAAUACUUACAUCACAUCCACAUCAGGGAGCAUGCUUUAGACUGUCGUUCAUAGAAUAUUGGCUUUUUCUUAAAGGACAAAAGCCAAUAUGUUUUACAGUAA